rnacentral:tRNA from 1 species
GGGAGGGUAGCUUAACUGGUAAUAGCAUGGGAUUGUGGCUCCCAUCUGACGUGAGUUCGAGCCUCACCCCUCCCUCCA